GGGGUUGUGGCUCAAUGGUAGAGUGCUCGCCUAGGAUGCGUGAAGCACUGAGUUCAAUCCUCAGCACCA
rnacentral:tRNA from 1 species